UAAUAAAAUGCUCCGCAGGGUGCAGCUUGAUACGACCGCAGAGGUCGAACCCUGAACAGUUGGGGGAAGUAUGGACACAACAUUCAAGCUUGAUACAGCUUUGGAUUUGGAUUGUGAUUAAAUAUUUGACACAGCAUAGGUUUCUGACACAGAAUGAAUGUGGUCUAAGAACUUAAAAAUUUUAAAUUGGACAUUCACCUAUUAUGGUCCAAUAUCCAAAAUCUAAAUACAUGGUUAGAUUCAGCUUAUCAAAGAACCCCAAGAAUUCAAUUUUUGAUGAAAUCAAAUAAAGUUUAAUUUUGGACCCUUUUGACCUCAAUGUGGACAAAGUUGAUAACGGGCCCAAAAAUCAAAAAUCUAAAUACAUGAUUAGAUUCAGCAUAUCAAAGAACCCCAUAUAUUCAAUUUUUGUUGAAAUCAAACAAAGUUUAAUUUUGGACCCCGAUUUGGACCAACUUGAAAACUGGGCCCAUAAUCAAAAAUCUAAAUACAUGUUUAGAUUCAGCAUAUCAAAGAACCCUAAGAAUUCAAUUUUUGUUAAAAUCAAACUUAGUUUAAUUUUGGACCCUUUGGACCUUAAUGUAGACCAAUUUGAAAAAAUAACCAAAAAUUAAGAAUCUAAAUACACGGUUAGAUUCGGCAUAUCAAAGAACCCCAAUAAUUCAAUUUUUGAUGAAAUCAAACAAAGUUUUAUUUUGGACCCUUUGGACCUCAAUGUGGACCAAUUUAAAAACGGGGCACAAAAUCCAAAAACUUAAUACACUGUUAGAUUCAGCAUAUUAAAGAACCCCAAGAAUUCAAGAAUAAAACCCCAUUGAAAUUGGUCAAGAAAUAAGCAAUUUAUACGAAGUAUCUUCUUUUGCACAAUACUGUGCAAUUGAAUAUUUCUUGCUAUUGCGCAAUAAUGCACAAUUGACAAUUUCUUGCUAUUGCGCAAUAUUGUGCAAUUGAAGAUUUCUUGCUAUUGCGCAAUACUGUGCAAUUGAAGAUUUCUUGCUAUUGUGCAAUACUGUGCAAUUGAAAAUUUCUUGCUAUUGCACAAUACUUAUUAUAUAAUAAUUUACACAUCCUGUUUGGUGUGUAUCUCCUACCAUAUCAUUAUUAUUUGUUUUUAAAUAUAAAUCAGAAAUAACCAACUUAA